AUGGAAGCGUGGUUAAGCUUGUGUUUCAUAGCCCUGCCCGCGGUACUAGCCCUUUGGUUUCUCAAGCUCUCCAGCGGCGAGAGCAAGCCAGGCAAGCGGCUGCCACCUGGGCCAUGGACCCUGCCGAUCAUCGGCAGCCUCCACCACAUCGUGAGCGUCCUCCCGCACCACACGAUGACAGAGCUCUCUCGCUGGUACGGGCCGCUGAUGCUCCUUAAGCUGGGCGAGCUCCCCACGGUGGUGGUUUCCAGCGCCGAGGCAGCUGCGCUGGUGAUGAAGACGCACGACGUCGCGUUCGCAAACCGGAAGAGCAGCGUGACGCUGGACAUCGCCGCCUGCGGCGGCAACGGCAUCUUCUUCGCCCCCUACGGCGACCGGUGGCGCCGGAUGCGCAGGAUCUGCGUCACGGAGCUUCUCAGCUCCAAGUCAGGGUGGACGUACCGAGCGGGCUUUUCGGCCCGCUCGUGGCCCGCUCGGUCUUGGCCCGCUCGGUCCUGGCCCGGUAAAGAAAUCAGCCGGUCCGGGCCGUCAAAUUAG
rnacentral:rRNA from 1 species